GGCUGAGAGGAGCCGGCGGCGGCAGUGUCUGUGGUGGCCGCGGCGGCGAGAGCGACGGUCCCAUCUUUCCCACCCUCUCGGUUGCCGCUGGCCACACGCCCUCCGCUGGCGGCGACUUCUCAGCUCCGUGCGCCCGGGCUGGACAGUGAGCCUCGAGAGGAGACGCGGGCGGCUAGAGCCGGAGUGGGGCGAGCCGCGGAACCCGGCCGGGAGCCGCGCGAGGCGUGAUCGGAGGGUAUGGUUGGCAUGGAAUUGAAUUUCAUCUGUCUGUGGGAAUUGUAAGCAAGAUUGCCAUCACGAAAGCCAAAGUGGAUUUCUCCAGUGUGGUGUGCCUGCCCCCUUCCGUCAUUGCUGUGAAUGGGCUGGACGGAGGAGGGGCCGGCGAAAAUGAUGAUGAACCAGUGCUCGUGUCCCUAUCUGCGGCACCCAGUCCCCAGAGUGAAGCUGUUGCCAAUGAACUGCAGGAGCUCUCCUUGCAGCCCGAGCUGACCCUAGGCCUCCACCCUGGCAGGAAUCCCAAUUUGCCUCCACUUAGUGAGCGGAAGAAUGAAAAAUGUCUCAAAUUGGGUAUAACAAA
rnacentral:sRNA from 1 species